AGAGAUCGGGAGGACUAAUUCCAGUUCGAGCUUGCUUUCGUUUUACGAAGACUCUGCUGAUCCGUACAAUAAGCCGGGGAAUUAAUUUAAAUAAAUAAAAGUUUAAGUUAAAUUAAGGUCGUUUUUUUCUUUUUUCCUUUUUCUUUUGCAUUUGUAGCUUUUGUUCGGGUCUGAAAUGAUGAAACGAUCCUUCGAGAUGUGUGUGAAUUUGUUAUUUUCACCGAAAAUAACAAAAAAUAUGUAUGAAGUAUCGAUACGUACAUGUAUGUAUGUAUGUAUCGAAGGGGAAAUGAUGUAGAUCGUUGAUCGUUCCAUGUAGUUUCAGAUCCCAGUGUUUGUGAUAUGUACAUGUAAUAUCGAAUGCAGAACUUAUGGUUAUAUAUUUGUUUGUUCUUUAUGUUCUUUAUGAUCAUGUUGUUUUAAAGCUUCAAAGAAUAACCUAAUGUUUUACCCUCUGGAAAUCAAUUGUUGAAUUGUACUCGAAUUUCUUUAAAAACCGAUUUUAAUCCAAUUUUCACAAUGAUUAUUUGACGAACUUAUUGCAGAUUUUCAGUUAAAGUGGUUUCAGGAGCCUGGAGUCUGGAGACAUGUCCUUAAAAUGCAACGUUUUAGUGAAACUGGGUUCAUCAUUGCAUAUUCUGGAGUAACAGAUUAUUAUUUCCACAGUUAAAUGGUAAAUUACUGAAAUUGGUAUGAAAUGUUGGUUACUUGAAAUUGAUUUUGUGUGUACACGUGUAGGGUCCAAAUCUCUGCAAGCGUAUGCAUGUUAUAUUUUAUAUAAAGAUUUUUAAUGUGAAUAUAAGAAUAGGCUUAAUUUAAGAUUUUUAAUAUGACGAGAAGAUUUUUAAUUUUCGUUUUAGAAAAAUGUUAUCUCCAGAGCAAGGUAUUUGUUUUCAGAACAAAUUCAAUUCCCACUUCCCCUUGCAUCCAUAUAAAUCAUACAACUUCAGCAUAAAUUUCUGCAAAUUACUCUGAAAAUUAAAAAACUGCUCUGGAUAUAACAUUUCUCUUCGUUUUAGUACUAAUAUAAAGGGUCGGUCUGCUCAUAUAAAAUCAUAGCAUAAAUUAGUAUUCCCUCUGUCCCAUUUAAUUGUAUACGUUUCUUUUCAACUGCUCGACACGCAUUUCAAUGCUCUUAUAAAAUAUAGUUCCGUAACUUAUUUUUGAGAUUUUCUUUUUCUGUAUAAAAAUAUAACAUCCAAACUUUAAUUCAGAAAAAGAAAAUUUUAAAAAUAAAUUACACAACUACACUUUACAGGAGCAUUAAAGUCCGUGCCGCGUCCCCGUCCCCCAAUAUAUACUACUCAGGGGAACGGAGGGAGUAGUAGUAAUAUUUUCAUGAUGAACAUACAAGCUUAUUAAGAACUGAACUAAUUAAUUAAUUAGCAUUUAUGUGGAUUCAAAAUUGCUAUAUAGUUUGAUCCCCACUUUAAAACUGAUAUAUGUCUUGUAUGUAGACGGUGAUUAAGUCCUAUUACAAGUUAAGGAGCUGAAUCAAUCAUGCUGUUCCGGAGAAUGAAAUGAAAAAUUAUAUAAAAAUUUUAACAAGAAAUAAAAUGUAUAAGAUAAUAGUGACAAGAUAGGAAUGUAUUUAAAUUUCAUGUGAGAAAGUUAGUAAAGCAAAAUGAUGUACAAAUAGAAUGAGCAUUCCUUCCAAAACGUGUGGAUUAGAAUAGUUAAAAUAAUAGGAAUGGAAUGAUUGAAGGAAUAAAAAUUAUAUACAUUUUCUUUCAUCAACAUCAUUUUAUAGUACAAAAUUCAUUUCAUUCUCACUCCAUUCUAUUCUCUCCAAGUGAACACAACCUCAGUGAUCAUAACAUCAACCCAAAAAUAACAAAUCAAGCUUUGGGGAUAAACUCUCUCCGUCCGUUCCUUUUUUUUUUCUUUUGCGUGGUAGUCGUCGGGUUUCCACUGCAUCGUAAAAAGUCCCAAAACAUUUUAUUUCUUUUAUGUUUUCUUCCUUUUUUCAAUAAAACUUGUUUUAAAGUUUUGAUUUCCCUAAAAAAACUUAUUUAUUAGGUAAGAGUGGUAUGCUUUUUCGGAUCUAAAGAUUCAAUAAUUUUCGAUUUGGUCUCCUUUUUCUUAGAUCUCAAUUCUACGGAACUACAGAUUUCGUGUUCUUCCCAUUGUUUUACAGUUCGUGUGAGUAUGGUACUUAAUUUAGUAAUAAAAAUUAUUAGAGAAUUACAUUCUUAGUCGAUAGUUCAAAUUGGAAAGUGGCGAAGCAUGUGUAAAUAUUAUCUUCAACAAUCACGUGAUUUUAUUUGCAAGAAGAAUAGAUUAAUAAGUGAUUGUUUAUGUGUUUUGUUUGUUCGACGUGAUUAUUUAUGUAAAUAUUGUAUAACUUUUUAUUAUUGAAUUAGCUCAUUUAUUGAAAAUAAUCAUUACAUAUAUAAAAGAAAUUCUCGACCAAAAUCCUUCAUUUCAAUAAAAACUAACUAGUUGUUAAUAUAUAUCGUAAACACAUACCUGAAAGAUGCAUAACAAAAUUAGCACAUCACAUACAAAUAAUAUCAUCUCGUGAUUACUAAAAUACUUAAUUUAAUCCGUGGUGAAACACAUUUAAGAAAUUUAUUGGUACUUCCUCCGUCCCACUCAAUUCUUUACAUUGGGUCUGGGCACGUAGAUUAAGAAAUAUGUAUAAAGUAGUGGAAAAGAAAAAGAAAAGUGGGUGAAGUGGUGGGACCCAUGGAUUUUUAUUUUUUUUUGCCAAGAUAGAUUUUUAAUAUAUAAAAGAAAGAUAGUGGAAUAAAAAUAACGUGAAAAGAAAGAAAAAAUGGGAAAAUGGUGAGACUCAUUAACUAUUUUAAGAAAGUUUUGUAAUGUAAUUAGAGUGGGACGAUUUAAGAUAGAAACUGUAAGGAAUCUGGUGAGACGAGACGGAGGGAGUAAAACUUUUGCGUCAUUUCGAUUUUACGGAAUGGUGUGAAAGUGAAACAAAUCUAAAAUAAGCUCAACCUGACAACAAAGUUGAUUCUGCUGUGGGAUUCCAUAUUAUACGGUACUCCCUCCAUCCCCCUGAAUUGUAUGCAUUGGGGGACGGGGACGCGGCACAGACUUUAAUGCUCCUGUAAAAUGUAGUUGUGUAAUUUAUUUUUAAAAUUUUCUUUUUCUGAAUUAAAGUUUGGAUGUAAUAUUUUUAUUCAGAAAAAGAAAAUCUCAAAAAUAAGUUACGGAACUAUAUUUUAUAAGAACAUUGAAAUGCGUGUCGAACAGUUGAAAAGAAACGUAUACAAUUAAAUGGGACAGAGGGAGUACUAAUUAAGGGGUGGCAGUUUCGGGUAACGGGUCGUGUUCGUGUCAGCAAUCGGGUCGAUUUCGACUUUUCGAGUCAAUUUCGGGUCAAGCUAAAAUCACUUAAAAUUGAAUAAAACUUAAAAUUGAAGUUAUUAGAAACAAAAUUCUAAUUUCGGGUCAUGUCGGGUACAGUUCAUUUUAAAACGGGUGAUUUUCGGGUCAUUUUCGGAUUUUUUUUCUUAGUAAAUCGGGUUACGAGUUCGGAUCGGGUUCGAAUCGGGUUCGGAUCGUGUCUGAUAUUGCCAGCCUUAGUAACAAAUUUAUCCCAAGUAUUCAUUCAGUGAAGCUCAAACUCAUGCUCAUUUUUGCUCCUUGUUUUCUUCCGGGUAAUUUCUGUAAUCACGUGGUGACUGAAUGAGUGAAUGCUGAUUACAACAUUGACGGACAGGAGUUGCCCAGGUCUCUAACAAGCCUGCAGGCUGCAUGUUUGUUUCCUGCGAGAUACUCUGCUCACUACUCUUUUCCUAUUUUUUUACUCUUAAAAACGGACGGUGGUCUUUCUAGAGUGUCAUUUCCAAGAUAAACUAAAUUAUGCUAAAGCACGAGAAUUAGAGUGCAAUUUGUUUUUAAUCAUAGUUAUUCAUGUUACUUUCUUAGUGGGAUGGUCCGGCUCCGGCACCUUGGGGGUCCAUGGUGCUCACAUUGAGUUAAAUAAUUGUUACUUAGUCAUGUCGGUCACGUGGGCAACUCAACCCGGCUCAGAUGCCAUCGUAGACUCACCGUACCCUUCUGCCCGAAUAAAACACAAGUUUUAUAAUUUUCCCUUGCAUAAUGGUCCUGUUUGGAAGUUAGAGGUUUGAGCAAAAAUUAAAAGUUUGAGGUGGUUUAGAGGUUUGACCAUCGAAAUCCGCUAAUUUUAGUGUUUGGUAGUUAGCGAAUUGAAAUAGAGGUUUGGGUCCAAAAAGCUAACUUUGUAAAAGCUAGUUUGAGGAGUUUUUUGGAUUAGAGGUUUUGGUUUGUGUCAGAAAAAGCUAAUCAAUCAGCUAUUAACCAAACAUUUUUACGGAAAACAGCUAAUCCAAUCCGCUAGUCAAAACAUCUAAUUCAAUCAGCUAGUCAAAACAUCUAAUUCAAUCCGCUAACAGCUAACCGCUAAUCCCCAAACAGGGUCAAUAUAUUCUACAUUUGGAAAUUAUUGUUACGAGUUACGACCUUCAUAUUGUAGAGUUUCUAUUGGGGUUAAAAUGGCUUGAUCAUAACUAAACUGGACUUCAACUUGCAAGUGGAUAACUAAACUCAAAAACCUUGCAUUUAACUCACUAAACCAGCUUUUACUUGCAAUCAGAUAACUUCCGUUAAAUCAACUAACGUGACUAACAGCAAAUAGUAUGACAUGGCACUGAGUUUACUGUCUAAAGUGUAGAAUAGUUGGAUCUGAUCCAAACCUAACAUUAUUAGUUUAUUUUCGGACAAUUGUAUAUGAAUGCCACGGAACCAGAUCUGCAUAUACUACCUUCUUCUUUUGAAUCAUUAUUAAAUCCUGCAAUCACAUUUAAAGGCAAAAGAAUGUGAUAAUGAAAAACAAACUACAUGGGACAACAUAAACGAGAGCAAGUGUCACUGCAGCCUCUGGGGGAACCCAAAAUUUGUCCAGUUUCAUCAACAUAUGUACUUUUUUCACUGAUCCACUUUAAAUACUACGCUCACCCUUCUCUUUCAUCUUUCAUGAUUGUUAUUCUCCCUCGCGUGUGUAUAAGCCGUACGUGUAUGAUUAAGUUGGGGGUGCUUUGGAUCGACUAAACUAAGGGUAGUGGGUUAACUGAAUUGGGGUGAGUUAUGAAAUAAUCGAGCAGGUCAGAUGAAUUUGGGUCAGAUGAAUCUACGUGGCAGUUGGCUUGUAAAAAGUUAACGAUCUUCCGUUAAAAAUUAACAUCAUCUAAUGGAUGUGCAGAUUUUAGUUAGUUUAAUUAUUUGAUUGCAAGUAAAAACUAGUUCAGUGAGUCAAAUGCAAGGUUUUUGAGUUUAGUUAUCCACUUGCAAAUUCAAGUUCAGUUUAGUUAUGAUCAAGCCAUUUUACCCGUUUCUAUUGCAAGAGCCGAAUGCACACCAAAAUUCAAAACUUACGCUACAAGUAACACCGCAAUCCCACCUCGAGUCGUGCACCCCAGUUCCACAUCGAGUCGUGUGGAGACAUUAGUUCAGUUUAUAAGCAUAAGUAUUUCUACUAAUUUUGAGGGCUUAUGAUAGACUUGUGGAUUACCCAUGUUGUUGCAGUUGAGCCAAUUUAUUUCGAUUUAAUUUCGGAUUCGCUUGACCUGAUACUCGAGAUUUGAUCCGGGUUGUCACACUCUUACCAUCACUCUUAUAAUAUGAAGGUAUCAUAGUUUAAAAACUUGAAUUCCUGAGUGAUGUACUAUAAAAAAUGCAUUCGGCUUUGAAUACACAAAACUAAUCUAACAAACGCACUCCCAAUGAUAAUCCCAAGGCUGAUAAACAUUUUACAGAUCCCACCUACAAGGAACAAAUUAACCAUUCCAGAACAUGAUACAAGCAAUCUUACACGUGCUUUAUACUUUAAGAGUGCUUCUUCACUUCCUCAUUCAUUUUUUAAUUUAGACGCUUUUUUUUUUUUAAGGAAUUUAGACGCUUCUUUUAAUUUUAAGAAAAUGUAUAAAUGAAUAUAUCAGUCAUAUUGAGCUCCAUAAAUAAUUCACAUCCAUUUUACCGAGAACAUAUAUUGAUCCACCAAAAUCGCCAAAAAAGAUAGAAAAUUUCAUAGCGGAACGGUUUAAAAAAGGGUUCUUAACUAUUACUAACUUAAACCAAGGGAUGAAGAGCACGAUUGGAUAGCCCAAGUGGUUAAGGGUUUAUCCUCUGUUGGGGUCCUGGGUUCGACUCUGGCUCACCUCGAGAUUAUCUUAGAACAGAUACUCAAAUUGUAAGGCUAUAAUAAGCCAUGUUAGUAAAAAAAAAAAACCAAGGGAUGAAACUUUGCCACAUAGGAAUUAGUAGCCCCACAUAAGGUUGAGUGGAGAAUCGGAGGGAAGAUUUAAAGAUAGCAGCAGUUAACAAAAGCAUAGAGUGAAAAUGACAUGAAGCACAAUGUAGCAGAGGGAGUCAACUUAACGGUAACAGGACUAGUCGAAAGAAAUGACGCCAAGUCCAUAAAAGCAUGCUCGAUGUUUCCAAUGCAGAAGAAUAUCACUAGUAAGUAGCGGUAGCAAUCAAGUAAAGGAGGAAUCUACUAAUACAUGGGAAAAAACGGAAACAUGAUCAUUCAACAAGACCUUGUUCGGUUGGGUGUUUAAAAGUAUUUGAUUUUGUGGUUAUUAUUAAUUAAAAAAUGGAUGCGAGUAUGAAAGGGUUACCUGAGAUAUCAAUUUUAAAGUUAGUUUUUUUUUUUUGACGAAAUUUUAAAGUUAUUUUUUAUUUCAUCAUAAAAUAUUGACAACAAUUAUAAAAUAUAUGUACGAACAAAUGUCGAUAGUACCAAAAAAUAUUUAGAAUUUUUCAUGUAAAAACAUAAAUUAAUUUAAUUUAUAAUUUAACAAUAUUUUAAAUCAAGAAAUGAUUCCAACAUAUUAACCUGAUUCCAAAUUGUAAAUUACAAAUUCCAGGCAUAUACCUCUUAAAGAAUUAUAUAAGCUCUAAAAUAUUUUAGACACACGCAUGCAAUAUAUUUAUUAUUUUUUGUUUAAUUUCUAUUAUGUUUCAAAUGACAACUUAAAAAUAUACAAGGCUUAUUCAAUGAUUAUAGUUCGAAUGAUGAAAACAAUUUCGUUUGGAUGAUAGAAAUUUAUAAUUUAAUCAUUUUAAAUGUUCUUGUUGAUACCAUGCGAUCCUGUAUUAAUGAUUCAUUUAUUCUAGAAAAAUGUAAAUCCCGGGAAUACAAUCUAGAUGAUCGAAGUAUAUAAUGUCGACCAUUUUAAUUUAUUAAGUGAAAUUUUUAUACAUUAUUAUACUGAGAUUAUUAAAUUUUACUAAUUUUUCAAGAUAUUGAUUAAUCGAAAAUAAAUAUGUAUCACUAUUAUUAUGUGGUGAGUAAAAUUCUAGAAUUCAAAUAUUAAUUUAUUAUAAAUUAUAAAUUAAUAAAUUAUUGGUUAUUUACUCCUAUAUAGAACAUCACCGGACCCACGACGAGCAAUUGUUCAUUUGGAUUAGUGCUAUGCACGGCCGCGGACAUAAACGUGGACUAAUGUACUGGAUCAUUUGAUUGCAGUCCACUUUCCACAGCUUAUGAAGUACUAGCAGUCCAGGCGUCUAGCAGAUAGGAUGGACAUUCACCCGGACCGCUCGACCCUGCUCCGCUCCCCACUCCGUUCGGGUUGGGGAUUCAGGGAAUAUCACAAUCUAAAAAAAUGAUCACGAAUAUUUUAUAGUUAAAAGAACAGAACGCUAAAUCGUGCAGCAUUCUCUUGUGGUUAAGAAUACAUAACGCUAUUUCUUGUAAUAUUUUACGCUACACUAUCUAGCAUUUCUAAUUUGGAAGAACUCUAUAUUAUCCCGUGUUACUAGCCGGCGAUAGGACCAUUUUUAGUUAUAACUUCUGCAAGCGAGUAUAGACAUUAAUUCCCAAAUUUGGGAUAUAGCGGUUUGGUUUAACUUAAAAAAAAUGACUUCUUGCUUAUAGUAAAGAAGUGGAGUAGAAGUGAGAAGUAAAUAAGUUAAUAAAGUGUUUGGAAAAGAAGCAGAAGCUGUGAGACAGAAGCUAGCAUUCUCAAAUUUUUAAAAGUGCUUCUGCUUAUUCGUACAAACGGGUUAAGAAAAGUAGAAGCCAAAAGCAGGUAUUACUUCUUGCAAACAAACAGUACCAUAAACAAGGAAGAAUAUACUAUAAUUUUAUAAAGGGAUAAUUAAUUCUGACGUCCCUGAACUAUAGGUUGUUUAUUAUCUAGGUCCCUCUCCUAUUUUUCUCAAUAAUGCGAUCCUUAAACUUUUAAUUUUUUCUGAUUCGCGUCCUUCCGUUAAAAGUCAACUAACAGACGUUAGUCAAUGCUUACGUGUCUGAUGCUUACGUGUCUAGUGCUUAUGUGGCUGACUUUCCAAAAGCUUUUUUGCACCCUCGACAUCCAUAUCCACAAUCUUCUUCGAUUUCCAGCAUACCCCGUAAGCAUUGCCAAUGCUUUAGCAGCUGCUUCUUUAUCCUCAACAGCUUUACCAUCCAGCAUCCUCACCAAAGGUGCAAUGCCCCCAAAUUCCCCCAACUCCUUUCGCGUUUUUAUAUCGUAAUCCCAAAUUAUAAACAGCCCUAGCAGCAACAACUCUCAGUCUCUCACUCCCAACACAUUACAAUUCAAAUCCAACACAAUCCAUCCCAAAAUCCACUCAAAACAAUAACCUCAGCAAUUGGAUGACACGAAACUAAACACCUAAAUAACUCAACCACAACCUUCAAACCCCUAACAUUCGAAACAGAAUCCAAUAAUUCAUCAAAAACUUAACCCCGCCUUCCUUCACAAUAAAAAGCUUCAACCUUUCAUCAUUAAUCAAACACAAAUUACACAAACACCCAAUCACAUUUUCCCACAGUACAGACUUUUUCUUUGGCAAACCCGAAACCCGAUUCGAGGACACGAAUCAAUGCUUGAAUUAAAGCCAACCCUUCUGCAAUGAAAACAUGCUUGCUUGAAGAACUGAAACCCUAAAAAUCAAAACGACGUCGGUUUUUUUAAGCUGAGGGGACGAGUUUGAAUGCCGUAAGCGCAGGAGCAAAUGGAAAUAACAUAUUUUUGAAUAUUAUUUUAAGUUGCCAAAUCAACAGAAUAUAAGCAUUAGCCACGUAAGGAUCAGCCACAUAGCAUUGACUAACGUCUGUUAGUUGACUUUUAACGGAAGGAUGUGAAUCAGAAAAUAUUAAAAAUUUAAGGAUCACAUUAUUGAGAAAAAUAGGAGAGGGACCUAGAUAAUAAACCACUUAUAGUUCACGGACGUUAGAAUUAAUUAUCCCUUUUAUAAAGCGGAACUUAUAGAAUUACGAGAAAAUUUACCACUUCUUUUCGAAGUUGGAAACAAAACAAGGGACCAAAGCUCCUAUGAUGAGUUUUAAUCGGGGCUAAGUAUUCGGCUGGUUCGAUUUAAAAUCGAAAAUCGAUUUUUUUUUAAAAAAAAUUUGAACCGGACUGAAUUAUUAUUAUGAACCAACCAAAUCAAUCGAAUUAUUUUGAUUCGGUUUUGGUUUAAAAAAACUGAGUUUCUGAAAAUUGUAUUUUCACUGUAAAUCCAUAAACCUCAUUCAGACAAGCUUCACCAUUUAACACAUAGAAUUUCAUACAUUAAAACAGAAUAUCACUUGAUUACUAGGAGAGUAGAAGUAGCAACUAGCAAGCCAAAAUAAUAGUAUCUAUUACAUUUGCAUUACAGAGCUACACUGAAAUUGAAAAACAAAUGUUAUGUUUGCAAUCUCAGUCUGCAUCUGCAGUUCCAUUCUCCAGUUUCAGCCCUUAGCGUUUAAGCCAAGUCGCACUUCUACAAAUAUGUAAAAUAAAUGUUGAUUAGUACCAGCACUAUAUGAAAUGUUAGCAGACUAGAUAUAAACAUCCCCAGAUUAGGUGACUGGCUAACAACAGUGAAAUAAGUGUCCAGUAAAACAUGAAGAAGAAUCGGUGUAAAUUGCAAAAAGAAAAAAAAAACGAAGCAAAAAUAUAACAAGAGUUCCAUAAUGUGUUUGAUGCUGAAGUCCAGAAGCUUGAAGAAGCUCGGUGCAGAGAUCACUACAAGUCUACAGCUGGUAAUGACACCUGGCCCAUACAUUAACAUUUGAACAUUUUCAAAAAAAUAAAAAAGAAAAAACUAACAUUUGAACUAUGGCCCAUGAUAGCAUUCGUCUAUCUGAAUAUAUAGCCCAUACUUUUUAAGGGUCAAGGAGAAUAUCAGAAUACAAGUCAAUGCAAUAAACUCCCUGUUUAGUAUUUAUACAAAAGAAUUAGGGUGCAGUGCUCCAAAAGAGUAGGAGGAAAAAGGUUAAGAGAGAUUUGAAUCCGCGACCCAAGUUUUUGUUUGGGCCUUGGACCAACUCGGUCAUCUCAUAUCAUAGGAAAAGCUAAUCAAAAAGUAUUGGAGUUAUAAAAAAAAAAAAAAUCCUCUAGCCGUCGUGAGGGCUUCCAUAGGUUUUCAGAAAGCCCCAAAUCAGUUAUUUUCUUUGUUUUGUUUCUGUUUUUCAAUAAUACUACUCCCCAGGUAAGGAUUUCUAUCUUUCAAGAUUGUAUCUUUAAUAAAAUCUUUUUUGGCUGAGUUUUGUUCCCAAUUUAUUUGGGUUUUGUUUAUUCUUUCCUUGUGAGAGCUUGGCGUGUUUUUUUGGUGUGUUUCAAUGUCCAGGACAUUAGAUCUGUCAGAUUUUCAAAGUAUUGAUUCAGUGGUAAAGAUUCAAAGGAUUGAUUCAAUGGUAAAGAUUUAUAUGGGAUUGCAGUUACCAUCGAUAGCUCAAAUGAGUUUUGAUGAAGUUUUGAUGAAGGCUAUAUGUGUAUAUAUCAAUUUCAACAAAUCGCUUGAUUGUGUCUUUAUAAGGACUAGAUUAAUCAGCGAUAUGAUCUGUUUUAUGUUUUUUCGACUCGAUUGUUCUUGUAGAUGCCAUAUGACUUUUCAUUAUUAAAUUAAUUUCUUUUUUUUCAAAAAAAAAAGUAUUGAAGUUAUGAUAGUACAAAUUAAGAUUAAUAUUUAAUUGCCAUUAGAACUGCUCAACUUCUAUGCAAGAUUACACCUAAAUCUCCCAAGUGAAGAUCAAAAAUGCAUUAUGAAAUCAAGUGCUUGUCAUAUACAUAGAAAACAUGCUACAUUGUUGAGGAUAUGCAGUGCUUUGUCAUAUUUCUUGUACUGGGGGAGAAAAUUUUUUUAUACAUUGAAAAUAUAACACAACACACAACAUUUCACUUUCAACAUCAAAGAAACGUUUAUAUUGUAGGACAACGGAUUAUGUCCACUUGUGAGUAGUGGAAUCUUCUACGAACAUUGAAAAUGCGUAUUUUUACUGUUAAUAUCAUUGGAAUAUUAGUCACAUUAAGCAUCAGAACUCAGGGAAUAAAACAGAUCUCAACCAUAAAAACCAAGGACUAACUAGCCUAUCAAGCUUGUCGUAUUUCAACUACUACUUAGUAAUUACUGAAUACAAUAGCUCAAGUACCUUGGUCCAAACGUAGAUAACUAACUGAUAAACUACAAAGCAUUCUCCUCCAAGAUUAAUGUACUUCAAUUAUUUAUUUAAGCUCAGCAAUUUCUACUUGCAACAUAUAAACCCUUUGAUCCUGCAUAUUUUUCAUGCUAUUUAGUUUCACUCAAAUGCUGAACUGGACCUUAAAACUCCACGAAUAUGUGAAAACUUAAGAGAGUACUUCAUAUAUUUCUAUAAAUCAAUAGAUGCAGCAUCAAGUCAGCUAAUGUAUCAAUAUAUCUAUGAUAGUAGCUUAUCAAAGUCUGAUAAAAAUAUCGAAAGAAGGCCAUACCCUGCGCUGUGCAUCACAGAUCAAAAGGUGCACAUUCUGUUGGUUAACACAGGAAUUUUGCCUUUCCGGAAAAAAAUUCAAGGAGUGAUUACCCUAUAUGGCUAUAUCUAUAAGUUCUUCGAAAAUUCCUUCAAGUUCUUCACUUAUCUGCACUUUGUCAGUUACUUUACUUGGCCUGGGGUGGCAUUUAUAAAUUAGGUUAUAUAUAAAUUUAUCAGUGCACCAUUUAAGUCUCUAAAAUCAGAGAUCAGGAAUUUGUACUGUAUUAAAUAGUGAUGAACACGAUCCCGGCAAAAGCAGAUUUCUGAAAGAGGUCAAGUAAAAAAAGUACAAGUGCAUGUAUUAGACUAUUACUAAUAGCCUAUUAGAGUAUCUUAAAUUUUUUUGUUUAAGCAUUCCAGGCUCUUUGUCUGCAUCUAUAUUAAAAAUAUCUCUCCAUACUUGGACUGGGGCAGCAUAUAUAAAUUUAGGCUAUAUAUAAAUUUAUCAGUGCAACAUUUAGGUCUCCGAAUUGAUAAGCAUAUGUUCAACUAAGAACAGCAAUGGUUCGGUAAAAAAGAAGAAAAAAGAACAGCAAUGAUCAAGUUUCACAAGCAGUCAAGCAUCGUAAGCUAGUGGAUAGGUAACAGGAGGUUGAGGUUUUGAGUUUCAGUGGAGACAUCAGACAUGAUUAAAUAAAUAUAUAAAACAUAUAUGCAAUUGACAAUUACAAAGGAAUAAUAUGAACCUCAACUAUCAAUUCAGGUGGAGCAAUCUAUAAAAAAUAUAUGUCAUAAAGCAUACCGUUAGAGAUACUCACAUUAAUGAGAUAAGCUGGGAGAAUCUGCAGCUUCUGGCACAAAAGAAUAUGAACUUUAUUUCUUAGAGAUAAUCGAGUAUGCUCCAUGCAUUAUAUUACAAAAGAGGUGCCUUGAAAAAUAAGUUGAAAUUUUCAAUCAUUCUUCCAUCGCAGAGUAACUCAAUGAAACCUGAUUCUUAGUUCACAAAUAAAUAAAUCAGAUUACGGACCUUACUCAGGGGGGGAUGGGUUGCAGCAGCAUCCAUGAAUGUCUGCAAUAUUCAAAAACUUACAGCUACUAAUAAGAAAAGUUAUUUCAUACUGCAGUAUGAGGACAGGAUAAUGGGCAUUUCAGAGCUUACUGUUGAAGAUACACAUCAAUUAUAUAGGUAGAAAGUGCUUAGAAUUUAGUCGCUAUAUUCAGAUACAAAUCCAAUUUACUUAAGUAAUGUCCGAAUGACAAGUAAUCAAUUUUAAUUUUCAGAGUAACAAUUUGAAAUGGUGAUUUAAGAAGGCUAGGUAAAACAAUGCAAAUUAUGUAGGAAGACAUCAAUGACAUAUCAAACCAUUGCGAGUUUCGACCAGUGAAGAAUAUCUGUUGCAGUAUAAGGACAACUAGCAUUUGUGAUAAAGCAAACUACUAUAGGUCUUUACAUCUGUCAAGUAAACUAUUAGCAUUUUAGUGUACUUGCAGAAAAUAUAUUAGAUAGUCAUUCUAGACAUACCCACCCAUCUUAUACACUACCAAGAAUCCAAAAGAAUAUAAGUUUACAAAAGAUAUACUUUGUUAGGUUACAUUAGAGUUUAUGUCUUAUAGCAGAACUAUUUUACUUUUACCCGCAAACUAUCAAUUUGAUUCCUUGGAAGAUGUCACUAUUGCAAUGCUUUAAAAUAAAGUUCGAGAUGCCUAAAAAAGUUUUUUACUUCAAACAUAAUACUAAAUGGUUUCUUGGAAUAUAAUACUACUUAAAAGACAACAUUUCCUAGGAAAAAACAGUCACCAUUUUGCACCUAAUAUUCCUCUUGCCAGCUACUAAAACAUUCUUGCAGACAACUUCACAGUGCUUUAGUGCAAUUACGUGCAGUAUAAAGACCCCUCAAACUCAUGUGAGGGCAUCAAAAUCUCAACUUCACACCCAGCCAUAUUACAAAACAAGCACAUAUAUAUGUACACAAAAGAGACCAGCAACUACAUCAGGAAAUAUGCUAUUUCAAUGUGCCUUUGAUAGUAGUUUAUCGAUGUCUGAUAUGGAUGUUGAGAGAAGGCCAUACCAUCGCAAUUGCAGCUGCGCGCUGCACAAGAAAAACGAUGCACACACUACUGCAUGUUUUCAACACAGGAAAGUUGCAUUUCCUAAGAUACAGUCAUUGACUGACUGCUCCAUAUCUGUGACAGCUUCCAGAAGAUCGAUACAAUCUUCACAUAUCUGUUUUCAUCAGGUAAAAUAAAGAAAAAGAUGUUCUUAUGUUUAUAAGAAACAAAGGAACAGACAGAAUGAUGUUUAGUAGGUGACCAAAAUUCAUAAAUUUUCAUAGAAUUAGAGAGUACUGUGUAAAUUUAUUUGUGAACACAGUACUCAUCAAAUUCCUGUAUGUAAUCUCAACGAUAAGAAAGCGCUAGGCUGAUAAUAUCUCAUUCAUGUACAAUUUAGGGAACUCAAUUUUGGGUCCAGUCACAUUGUUAUACACACAGCUGAUUUGGAAAUUUUCCAAAGCUAUACUUUGUUUCUUAAUGAGCACUGGAAAUUCGAUGAACUAAAAGACAGUGGUAAGUUCAUGUCAUUGUAUGGUACAUGCCCUCCCUCGGCAUGACAAGUCCAAGUUCAAAAUUAAUUCAUAUUGACCCGAAAUUAAAUUUUAGACUAUUUGAAUAUUUCUGCGCUCAAGUGAAUAGUGCAGUUUUGGAAGUCAAUACAUCUGGUAUAGGAUAUAAAACGUGUUUCGACAAAAUAUGCGAUCAAGCAUUAUUGCAUAAAAUGCAGAAGAAAAUUGGUCUUUAAUCUUUAAACACCUGAUAAGAAACAUAGAACACAGCUAAAAUAUUGUAGGCAGGACCAUGAGGAAGUAGGCCAGUCUUCUUGUUGUCUUGCACCACAGGUCCGAUAUAGUUAACUUGUUCCAUAUGCCCCAGUUAAAAAUGUUAUUUUUAAAGUAAAUAAAAGUUCUUUAUAGACUGAAAAAUGAGGUUAAUCCAUAUUGCAGCUCAAACUAAGGCAAACCUGAUUAUUGAUUAUAGUUAACAGAAGAAGAAAAUUUAUAAUGUACCUUAUGAAGAGUGGAUUGGCACAGGCAUAAACCAUGAAGAAGGUUGCAGCCUUGCAGAUUUUCGUACUCUGAUCAAUGUAAAGCAAAUUAAACAGUGUAUUAUGAUAAAAAAGUGUUAGGAAAUCAUGAUCUCUGGCUCAAAUUUUAGCAGAAGUUUGGAAAAGCUAUGUGAAUGUUUGAAUUUUCAUGAAUUUUUAAACACGAUAAACAGUUGAUCAAAUAGAAGCUACAAGUACGACUCAUAAAAUUAUAUAUAUUCACUUGAUAACAUAUUUACAUACAUGAACCCAUAUUACAAGUAUAAUGCAGGGAAGCAAAAAAUAUAUUAUUCACAGCCAUUCUAGCAUUUAGGAAACACCCAGUGGAAAAGUUGGUAUUAAGAAUAACUAUAACGCUUACCUAAUAUUAACUAAGCAAAUAAACCAAAUCAAACUAAGCAUAUCUGGUAUAUAUAUCUUCAUGUAAUAGGAUGUGAGAUGUAUACAUACCUUACCUCCAAUUCUAAUAUUAUAGAAAAUAUUUUAGUGAAGACCCACUCAUAAUAUUACAAAGACAAAGAAGUUCAUGAAAAUUAUUGAAAUAGCAGAAUUUUUGAAACUUGUUAAAAUUUCUCUUUUGUUCUAAAAUAAAUAUCUAAAACGAACAAGAAGAAAACAUGAUACGUUGUUAAGCAAUAACAGUUUCUUGUCAUUUUGUUUGUACUGGAGGAGAAAAAUUUGUUAGACAUUGAAAAUAUAAUACAACAGACAAAACAUAUCACUUUCAAGAUCACAAACAGACAGGUUUAUAUUGUAGGACAACGGUUUAUGUCCAUAUAUGAGUAGUUGAAUCUUCUUCUAUGAACACUAAGAAUGUUAGGCUCACUGUUCAAAUCAUUGGAAUAGUAGUCACUCUAAGCAUGAACUUUAACUUGAAAGAAACAUAUUUCAAGCAUGUGAAUAAAUACUAACUUGAACCUAGGUAUGUCAACUCUAUACUUAGUACAACAUCACAAAGUACCUUGGUCCAAACGUAAGAUAACUAACUAAAAGAAUCUUCCUCCUAGAAUAAUUCACACUCCAGUCAUUUAUUCCAGCUCAACAAUCUUUACUUACAAUAUAAGAAGCCUUCACAGGCAUGCAAAAUUUCAGAGCUAUUUAGUUUCAGUAUACUCUCAACCCCACAAACACGUUAACUGUUAGGGAAAGUAUAGAUUAAGAAACUGAUGGAUGCAGCAUCAUUUCAUAUGAUGAACCAAUAUGUCUAUGACAGUAGUUUAUCAAUGUCUGACACAGAAAUAGAGAGAAGGCCGUACCAUCGCAAUUGCGGGUGUGCAUUGCACAAAUCAAAAGGUGCACAUGCAGUUUGUUUUCAACAUGGGAAUGUUUCAUUUCAAAAGAAAAAGUCAUGGAGUGGCUGCUCAGUAUCAGUAAAUUGUUCCAGAAGCUCUACAUGUUCUUCCUUUAUCUGCGCUUUUUCAGGUAGGAAUACAGCAGAAGAAAUUUAACAGUCAAAUAAAGAAGAGAAAUUAUAGUGUAGGUAGCAAGCAGUAGUUUUUAACAGAAAAAGAAUUGAAUAUAGUGCUGAUGCUCCUAUAUAUAUAUUGAAUAGUCAUGUAAGGAGCAAGCAUAGUUCUUUUCUUAACUUCCAUCUCCUCUGUUUAGGCUAAUUUAUAGAGUUCUUUUGCAGAUUGUGUUUGAGAUAUGAUGUAUAACUAGUACCAAAUUAAGAGAUGAAUUAGAUCUUGAAACUAUUCUGCCGUAAGAGUUUUUAAAAUUACAUGUAUGUCAUCAACUCGAAAUUGUAAUUACUAAUUAGUAACUUCGAAUACAAUGCAGAUAGACUUAUAAAGCAAAAGGUCAAGUAAACUAAGAUAACAGGAUUCUUUGGUACAUAUGGCGCAUAUUAAUAAACUUUCUUCCAAAUAAGAGUAGGUGUGAAAUAAAAAGUGAAUUCUAAAAAGGAGCCGGGUAAAAGAAAUUACAAGUGCAUGAAUUAGAAAAUCUAGAAUUUUGUUUUACCAUUCCAGGUUCCAUGCUUUAUAAGAAUUGGGAUGUAUACGAGUAAUAUUGGUUCUAUAAUUUGUGUAUACUUGUACAGUUAUCAGUGCAACAUUGAGGUCUCUAAAUUCUGAACCUAUUCUGUAGACCAAUGGACAGUUAAAUAAGAAGCUGAGAAUUAUUAUUUUUAACUGUGAGUAAACACAUGUUUACAAUCUUUGUAAUCAACCACUACAAAAAUAUAUAGCAUGAAGUCAUGAACGUUAAUAUUGAUCCAAGGAAAGUAACUUAUCUUUCCACAUCAACAAUGCAAAGUAGACCUUGGAAUAUACCUAAGAGAAAGUUCCAUAUUGUAUUUAUAUUAUUAGCAUACACAACAUUAUCACUUGAUACUAAGCUGAAACAGUGAAUAGUUAAAAGCAGACGAUAAGGAGAGUACAAUAUUUAAACAGUUUUUCAAGCAGGAAAUGCAAACCAUUGCAAAUGAUGUAAGAAGCAUGAAAUUACAGUCGAAACCAAUUCAAUGAGUAAAAAGGAACUUCGCGAGUUACUACACUGCAGACAAAAUAUAACAUCAGUAUUAGAGCAUAGUGCUAAUGCACUUUUAAAGUCAAUUUCGAGUACCUGAAUGAAUUUACUGCAAAAUAAUAAUAAUAAUAAUAAUAAUAAUAAUAAUAAUAAUAAUAAUAAUAAUAAUAAUAAUAAUAAUAAUAAUAAUAAUAAUAAAACCAAAUAGAGCUUAAUAUGCGGAAGAACUGAGAGGACCUAAUCAAGAUAGGUGAUUGAGAGGUAUAGAGCUAGCUUCUUCAUUAUGGAGAAUCCAUUCUCAGGGUUUUCACAAUAAUUAAAAGUAAACUGAUAGCUCUUUUUCUUCAGUCUAAUGAGAAAUAUCACAUAUUCAAUGUUGUGUACAAAAAAGCCAACCCAUUAAAAAAACCAGGAAUCCAAUACAUCAGUGUUACCAAAAAAGGGACUCCUCGUUAACUAAAAUGAAAACAGGUUGUCAUUUUUGGAUUAUACUGUAUAUUCAUAUGAAAUAUAUUCCCUAGGAGUAAUCAACAUUCCAAGCAUGAUAAUAGAAUUUGAGAUGACUUGAAGAAUAGGCACAAAUUUUUGAAAAUAUCUUCAUUGCAAACUAGCGAAAGGCAAACCUGAUUCUCAGAGCAGACUAUUACAUAUUCUUGUCAAUUAAGUAGGAAGUGCUUAAUACUUUGUUGACUGUUGUUAUAUUGCUUUGCAAACCCAACAGUUCCAAAAAGGUAAAGCAAGAUUACGUAAGAAGACGUCGAUGACAUUUUAAACAAUUUCAACCAGUGAAAAAAUGCAUGUGUGAUAAAGCAUUCCUUUAUGCUUUUCACUUUUAAGAGAAUAUUGCAUACUUACAAAAAUCAUAUAUAAUAUGGAAUAUGCAUCCAAGAUUGUAUAGACAUUCCCACCCGUCUCUCAUACAUAACCAUGAAUCCAAAACGAGAUAUUUAGGUAACUUGCAGAGGACAGUUUGUUUUUUAGUGCAACUUUAUAGUUAACCACUAAACUAUCAAUUUGAUUACUUAGGAGAUGU
rnacentral:lncRNA from 1 species